rnacentral:tRNA from 1 species
GCGGGGGUAGCCAAGCCAGGUCAAAGGCGCUGGACUUAAGAUCCCGUCUCUCAGGAGUUCGUGGGUUCAAAUCCCACCCCCCGCA